UACACCAAAAAAAAAGGUCUACUGUAUCUUUCUUUUUUAAUUAGAAAAUCACACUAUAAAAAAAUUCAUACAUUACACAUGAGGUUUUAUUAAUAUUAAAAUUUUAGUCUCUCCGAGAACAAUCAAGGAAAAUCACCGCCACCAAAUCCAGUACAAACGCUGGAUGUUUCUGAUUCUUCCAGUUUAUUGAAGUUUGAUAUUAUGUUGAUUUGCGAAGAUUUUUUAUUUCGUAAACUCCUCUUUUAAUUGGAAAAGAUUAUUUUUGGUCAUAACUUAUGAUCAAGAGACAUACGAUGUCCACUUUGAGUAUGGUCUUGUCAAUAAAAAUGGAAAUAACAAUACUUUGUACACAUUUUUAUUUUUGUUUGUGUUAGCGGCUCGAAUCAACAACUCUAAUUUUGGUUAGAGGUUCGUUUCCUUCCCUCUUUUUUCCUUUUUAAAUUUAAAUUUUCAUCUUAACUUAAUGAAUCGGGCUUCCUUUUUUAUAAUCUGGCAGCCAAUUAACUUUCUAAUUUUUGUUCAUGCUAUAGAUAAGGAAUUUUCACAUAGCAAAUAGAGAGGAAGAUAUUGGUUCCCAUGCAGGUUAUGUUCUUUGUUGCCAUUGAUGUUCCGAAAAUACAUGGUCACAAUUUUCUUCUUUCAUAAAAUUAUUUUCUGAUAAGAGUAUUUGCACUAAUCUUAGAUUUACGUGCAUUUUAAGUUCUUUAAGGUUUACAAAUGUUGAUUUAGUUAUUUAUAUUUGGAUAACUUCUUAUAUGGUUGAUUAGUUCACACGCACGUUAUGUUCGUGAUCAUGAAUUCACUAUAGCAAGGAGCAAUGAAAGUAUUGUACUUCAUGCAGGCGCAACUCAUGAAUAUUCUUACUUUUAUGUUCGUUUUGUCCACGGAUCAACAAAUAACGUCUAAUGAAGUAGAUGGAAAGAUUGAACGCUCACACGCCAAAAGUAGCAAAAUUGAGAGUACUAUGAUAAAUGUAUGACCAAUUAGGAUAGAAGGGUUAGUAACAGAAGGUGAGAAUGGCCGUUGUGAUGGUCAAGGCGAGAGGCGAAAUUGAGAUGGUUCGGACAAGUGAAUAAAAAAUAUUUAGAUGCUCAAAUUACCUAUCAAAUGUUGUAUAAGUUAUACAUGUAUAAUCAUCUUCUCACCUGCUUUGAUUUUUAUUUUUUUUUUAUAUUGAACAUUGUUUUAGUAUUACGCUUGAGUUAAAAUUUUAAUGUAUAGAACAAGGAAAGAAAGAAUAUCCAAUUUUAUUAUUCACUUUAACCA